UUCUUCAGGGCGGGGUGCGAUUCCCCACCGGCGGUAAAGUCCGCGACCUGUAAGGAUGUUUCGCCUUUUGCGAUUCCUUGCAGCUGAAUCGGUGCAAUUCCGAUACCGACAGUAUAGUCUGGAUGGAAGAGGAG
rnacentral:ncRNA from 1 species